UACGUAGGGGGCAAGCGUUGUCCGGAUUUAUUGGGCGUAAAGAGCGUGUAGGCGGCUUUGCAAGUCCGUUGUGAAAACUCGAGCUCAACCUCGAGACGCCGGUGGAAACUGCAAAGCUAGAGUCCGGAAGAGGAGAGUGGAAUUCCUGGUGUAGCGGUGAAAUGCGCAGAUAUCAGGAAGAACACCCGUGGCGAAGGCGGCUCUCUGGGACGGUACUGACGCUGAGACGCGAAAGCGUGGGAGCGAACAGG
rnacentral:rRNA from 1 species